rnacentral:rRNA from 1 species
AUGAAGGCCUUAUUCUGGAACAUUAGGGGUUUCGGCGCUAGGGGGCGCCGGGACCAGCUCAAAGACUUGGUUCGCUCUGAGAAUAUUGAUAUUAUUGGGCUUGUUGAAACUCUGAAACCUUCCUUCUCCCCAAAUGAGUUGUCCGCUGUCACUGGGAUUGAUAGGUAUGAUUGGAAUUAUGUGGCUUCUUCUGGUCAUUUGGGUGGUAUCCUUCUUGGCACUAAAGAAGACCUUUUUGAUUUCGUUGCUUUUGACCAUGGGGUUUUCUGGGCUAGUACUAUGGUUUCUCAUCGCUCUCUCAACUCUUUAUUAGAAAUCAUGGUGGUAUACGGUCCGGCUGAUCAUGCUCUUUCUCAUAUCUUUUUGGAUGAACUGCGAAAUAAAAUUCAGUCCUGUGACCUUCCUUUACUCAUUGGGGGGGGAUUUUAA